rnacentral:lncRNA from 1 species
UUUAAUAANAUGGCACACAUCCGUCCUUGUGGGUAGAUAGGAAAGAGACGUGUUACAUGUACAGUUUGUUUGACAAAAUGCCAGCCGGCAAGCAUUCAUUGGGCGUUGGACACAAAUCAAGAUUUAACUAGCAAAUGCAGUAUUGUCAUCUCUUCAUCUCUAAUGCUUUAUGUAAUUUCUAGUUGUACAAACAUCUUUAUUCGAUAGGAAAUAUGCUUCCCCUGCGUUUAUGUGUUUUUAAUCGUUAUAAACAAAAUUAUUUCUGGUUUUAAAACUGUGUCCUGAAGCUGUACGGUAUACAGUUGAUGCUAAAAAAAUUUUUAUCUGCUGCUCUGUUUAUGUAAAC